UAUUGGUGAUGUGUUAGACCUCUGUCUAAAACCUGGUGCAUUAUAACGGAAAAGGAGCUUUUCAGUUUUUAAAACAGAUUUAAGCAAUACCAGCUGUGUGCUGCUGUUGUCUAGAAACACCAUGGCAGAGUACCAGUAUUCUUCUUUUCAGUGACAGUCGAGGUGCUGAGAUACACACAGGCAGCUUUCUACUCAGUCGAAUUUUUACUGUGUUGUAGCUGAACAGGAGGAAAAGUAUACAGCUACAUUAGAAGACACUCGACAAAGAGUCAUGGAAGACGGUCAACAUUUCACUCAUGGGAGCUCCUCAAAGAAGGAACAACAACAUAAAUAUAUGAAAAACAAAAUGGAAAUAAAAGGAUUCCUCACAAGAUAUAUUCUAAAAACCUGGACUCUACUUGACAGUGAAAGUCUGGAAGAGAAUGGCAUUUGGUGAAAUAGAUGAGAGCAAACCUCAUAAAACCAUGAUAAUGGUUGGCGAAACAGGAGUGGGGAAGACGACUCUCAUCAACUCCAUGGUCAACUACAUGCUUGGUGUUGAGAGUAAAGACAGAAUUUGGUUUGAGGUCAUAGAGACAAAGAAAACCAAUCUCAAUCUCAAACCUCUACAGUAACGGUGUAUGAUUUAUUUACUGAAC